UCCACCUGUUUAGAUGCCCAAAUUUGGAAAAUGCCAGACCCGAGGAUACUCAAGUCAAUGUGAGGACUAGAUGGGAGAUGCUUGAGAAGCAGAUUGUAGCCACUGGUUUUUGUGAUGGUAAGAGGAAUUUAGAACAUUCUGUAAACAUUUUUAACAAGUAAAUGCUAUAUUAAGAUUGUUUGUUUAUUAUGUAUCACCAGGUACAACAAUGAACAAUCCUUUUAAAAGUUCUCUGACAUACACUGCCUUUACUCCAUGGCUGGGGCAGGACACCAGACUAAAUGAUGUGGUACCAAAGACAGAAAUGUUGAAAGGUCUGUCUCAGAAGGACCGUGCUGCCUCAUCAAGGGGUUGAAUGAAUGUAGAUGAAGAUGCCAUAUUGCAGGCACUGGAUUCAAAAGCACCCAGAAAAGAGAACCUGAUCAAAGCAUGCAAUGCUCUUGGGGUGUCCGAUAUUGGUAGUCGGACAGACUUAAUCAGUCGGUUGGAAGAGCUACUACUGUACAAGGACCUCUAUCCUAAAAUGUUUGUAAAGCUCCAGAAAACUGGUGGUGGAGUGCUACACAUGACCUGUAUACACUCUGUAGUGUAUUACCAGUCAGCAUUGUGGUGGCAGGAGUCAGCCCGCGAUCAUGGAGAUGCUCUUUUGAGUUUUAAACAUACGUGUACGUGUCAGACAUCGCUGGACGAGUUGCUAGGCAUGUCAACAACCGGACAAACCAGCAGUUUUUCCAGCCACAUGAUGGUCGUCUGUGUGCAAACACAGAAGAGAACAUUCAGGCUGCACUGGAAAAAAGUCUCCAUGUCCAGUUUCCGUGGGUGACCAGUGUUGGCUUGUCCUCAAGAUCAGCCUCCCACGAUCAGAUCCCAAGAUCUGUUAACAGGUUUUCCUCUAUGCACCCCGUGACAGGAACCAGUGCAAGGUUUUCUUUGUACGACAGGUUCCACCAGAAAAAUCAAAGAAGACCAGGGGAAUUACUGAGGAGUCUAAAACUGGUGCCAGAUUUGGCUGCUCUGGUUAAGUCAUCUGCAGCAGAGCAGAUAAACAGAGAACUAUCAUCAAGCAGGUACUCUUUGUGCCAGAUGAAUGAUCAGCAUUACAUGUUUACUCUGCGAUUAUAUUUUCAUCAUCACACCAACAACAUCAACGAAAAAUACACCAACAAAUUGAAGCAACUAGCCAAGCAAGCCUUGCAUGUUGACAUCUCUGGAAAGCUGAGAUUCGGCUCUCAAGCAGAGAGGAGUCAAAUUCCACCUGCAGAUGAAGAAGCGCAUUACACAGAAACAGAUUACUGUGAAUUUACAGUAACCAUGUUCCCCGUUUCUCCUGACAAUAAGGACAAACUCUUGGAGUUGUAUACUGGGCGAAGGAAUGAGCGGCAGAUAAUCACAUAUUUUGAUAACAACCCAGUUACAAUCAGAGACCUCAAGAGUAUCUGUCCACAGCAUCUUCUUGAUGCAGAAAUUGCACCAAAGCCAAGACUGCCUUGGCUUACUGAUGAUGUUGUCAACAGUCGAGUGGUUCAGAUUGCCUCACAGGGGCCAAAUACUGUUGCUCUGUCAACAAACACGUUCAUGAUAUGGCACAGGGAAUGGCAAGCCAACCGAAACAUUCCGGAUGAAGAAAUUGCACCUCUAGAAAACACUGAGAAAGUGCUGUGGCCACGAAUUGUUGGGGGCACUGUUGGUCCAGAAUGGGGAAAUCACUAUAUCCUUUGGGUUUUUGAUAUCCCUGGAAAAGAGCUUCGGGUUUAUGACUCCACAAGCUCUAAUUUCACAAUUGAAAGUGAUGACAUGGACAUGCUAAGAAACAUAUUUCGACACCAUGAUUCACUGAAUGGGUGGAAAGUGUCAUCUGCACAGACAUGGAAACAAAAUGACAGGGUCAAUUGCGAUGGCCGAGUUGGACAUGAGGGCUGCCAAAAUUGGAGAAGAAACUCUCCAUUAUGGACAGCUUUGCCAUUUACUUCUGUACCAUGCCUCAUGCCUGGUUAGGAAUCUGGCUUCUGAGGACUUCCCAUCAUGUGUAGAGACAAAAGAUGACCAAGGUCCUACAGCACAUUGCAUUGCUCGAGACAUCUGUGCUUGCAUUUUUCAGAAGUCAGGGAAAAGGUGAGCACUAUGUACAUGUUUAAAGAUUUUAAUUAAUUAUAUAGUUAGUGUGAUUGCAGUUAAAAAUUGUUUUAAUUUAUUUGUCCAAAAAACACAAAAUGUGGCAGUUUUUGAACCAGUUGACCCAAUACUUUUUCCACCGACUAAUUAAUUUUAAAAAGUGGAGCAAUUGUUUCAAAAUAUUUAGCUCCCACAAACCAGAGAAUGUGUGUGACUCUCUAGUGCUGUCUAGCCAUGGUUGAGCUUUUGUACCAACCAGCUUUUUGGCAAACGUUUUGGCACCCUAGAAUUUUGCCAAAAGCAACACCUCAGCAACUACUUCUAAAAACAGUAAUGUUGAGCUGCACUCACAAUUGCAGUUUCUGUGCUAACUCUCUAGUGGUGUAAAUUUUAUUUGUUUGUUUUCAGAGCCAUGCAUUCCCACAUUAAAAGAGUGGAGUGGAUCCAGUGUGAUUACUGUGAUGGUUGGUUACACAGCGACUGUGCAGGUGUUGAUGUAUCUGCACUGGACAAGGAUGCUCCAUUUAGCUGUGGAUGCCAUCUCCCUGUGCCUUACCCAUAUGAAAGGUAGAACCUCCUAUGUGGAUUACUAAUGUAAUGGAGAGAGUACAGUUACCUGGUCCAAAUUGGGUCAGAUAAUUCACCUUUUUUUUUUUAUUUGUAGUACACAUGAAGCAUUGCGGACGGGCCUGGUUGCAGACUUGAUUGAAGACCGGGAGAUUCUGGUAUGAGGAGUAAAUAUUUUUUAGUUAUAUUAUACAGAUUUAAUGUUAGAUUUUUCCAAAUUGUGUGGUAAAACAUGCAUUUAAAUGGAUCCACAGAAACUGCAAAAUGACCUUUUAGCUGGUACUGUGAGGUCACAUCGACUGUUCCUUUACAACAACCCUACUUUCAGUCUC
rnacentral:lncRNA from 1 species